rnacentral:rRNA from 1 species
AGUGAACGCUGGCGGUAGGCCUAACACAUGCAAGUCGAACGGCAGCACAGUAAGAGCUUGCUCUUACGGGUGGCGAGUGGCGGACGGGUGAGGAAUACAUCGGAAUCUACUUUUUCGUGGGGGAUAACGUAGGGAAACUUACGCUAAUACCGCAUACGACCUACGGGUGAAAGCAGGGGAUCUUCGGACCUUGCGCGAUUGAAUGAGCCGAUGUCGGAUUAGCUAGUUGGCGGGGUAAAGGCCCACCAAGGCGACGAUCCGUAGCUGGUCUGAGAGGAUGAUCAGCCAAACGGGAACUGAGACACGGUCCAGACUCCUACGGGAGGCAGCAGUGGGGAAUAUUGGAAAAUGGGCGCAAGCCUGAUCCAGCCAUACCGGGUGGGUGAAGAAGGCCUUCGGGUUGUAAAGCCCUUUUGUUGGGAAAAAAAAGCAGCAGGUUAAAACCCCGCUGUUCUGACGGUACCCAAAGAAUAAGCACCGGCUAACUUCGU